GGAAGUAAAGGUCGUAACAAGGUUUCCGUAGGUGAACCUGCGGAAGGAUCAUUCAUAAUAGGUGUUUUAUGGCACUUUUUUAAAUCCAUAUCCACCUUGUGUGCAAUGUCAGGGUUGAUUUUUCUCUCGAGAGUAUCAACCCCAAACAUCAACUAUAUCUCAACUCUUUGUCUGAAAAAUAUUAUGAAUAAAACAAUUCAAAAUACAACUUUCAACAACGGAUCUCUUGGCUCUC
rnacentral:misc_RNA from 1 species